rnacentral:rRNA from 1 species
UGGGGAAUAUUGGACAAUGGGCGCAAGCCUGAUCCAGCCAUGCCGCGUGUGUGAAGAAGGCCUUUUGGUUGUAAAGCACUUUAAGCGAGGAGGAGGCUACUUGGAUUAAUACUCUAGGAUAGUGGACGUUACUCGCAGAAUAAGCACCGGCUAACUCUGUGCCAGCAGCCGCGGUAAUACAGAGGGUGCGAGCGUUAAUCGGAUUUACUGGGCGUAAAGCGUGCGUAGGCGGCUUCUUAAGUCGGAUGUGAAAUCCCUGAGCUUAACUUAGGAAUUGCAUUCGAUACUGGGAAGCUAGAGUAUGGGAGAGGAUGGUAGAAUUCCAGGUGCAGCGGUGAAAUGCGUAGAGAUCUGGAGGAAUACCGAUGGCGAAGGCAGCCAUCUGGCCUAAUACUGACGCUGAGGUACGAAAGCAUGGGGAGCAAACAGG